AUUGAACGCUGGCGGAAUGCUUUACACAUGCAAGUCGAACGGCAGCACGGGGGCAGCCCUGGUGGCGAGUGGCGAACGGGUGAGGAAUACAUCGGAACGUGCCCGGUCGUGGGGGAUAACGUAGCGAAAGUUACGCUCAUACCGCAUACGAUCUGAGGAUGAAAGCGGGGGACCUUCGGGCCUCGCGCGAUCGGAGCGGCCGAUGUCAGAUUAGGUAGUUGGUGGGGUAAAGGCCUACCAAGCCGACGAUCUGUAGCUGGUCUGAGAGGACGACCAGCCAAACUGGGACUGAGGCACGGCCCAGACUCCUACGGGAGGCAGCAGUGGGGAAUUUUGGACAAUGGGCGCAAGCCUGAUCCAGCCAUUCCGCGUGCAGGACGAAGGCCUUCGGGUUGUAAACUGCUUUUGUACGGAACGAAAAGGCUCUGGCUAAUACCUGGGGCGCAUGACGGUACCGUAAGAAUAAGCACCGGCUAACUACGUG
rnacentral:rRNA from 1 species